CCUACGGGUGGCAGCAGUGAGGAAUAUUGGUCAAUGGACGCAAGCCUGAACCAGCCAUGCCGCGUGCAGGAUGACGGCCCUAUGAGUUGUAAACUGCUUUUGUAAGGGGGUAAACUCCGGUACGUGUACCGGGUUGAAUGUAUUGUACGAAUAAGGAUCGGCUAACUCCGUGCCAGCAGCCGCGGUAAUACGGAGGAUCCGAGCGUUAUCCGGAUUUAUUGGGUUUAAAGGGUGCGUAGGUGGUUUGUUAAGUUAGAGGUGAAAGGUCGGGGCUCAACCCCGAAACUGCCUUUGAUACUGUUGGACUAGAGAAUAGUUGCGGUAGGCGGAAUGUAUGGUGUAGCGGUGAAAUGCUUAGAGAUCAUACAGAACACCGAUUGCGAAGGCAGCUUACCAAACUGUAUCUGACGUUGAGGCACGAAAGCGUGGGUAGCAAACAGGAUUAGAUACCCCAGUAGUC
rnacentral:rRNA from 1 species